rnacentral:rRNA from 1 species
CAUGGCUCAGGACGAACGCUGGCGGCGUGCCUAAUACAUGCAAGUCGAACGAGAGCGACCGGUGCUUGCACUGGUCAAUCUAGUGGCGAACGGGUGAGUAACACGUGGGUAACCUGCCCAUCAGAGGGGGAUAACAUUCGGAAACGGAUGCUAAAACCGCAUAGGUUCUUGAGUCGCAUGACUGAAGAAGGAAAAGAGGCUUCGGCUUCUGCUGAUGGAUGGACCCGCGGUGCAUUAGCUAGUUGGUGAGGUAACGGCUCACCAAGGCCGUGAUGCAUAGCCGACCUGAGAGGGUGAUCGGCCACAUUGGGACUGAGACACGGCCCAAACUCCUACGG